GCUCCUGUAACUCAGCCUGGAUAGAGUGCUACCCUUCUAAGGUAGAAGCCGCAGGUUCAAAUCCUGCCGGGAGCG
rnacentral:tRNA from 1 species